UCUACGAGGCAACAAAAUUCCGCCAAGAAUAAACAAAGAGAUUGCGGGAUGUUGUUUACGUGUGUCACUUGACACUAACUGCAAGAAACAAAGAGUGGAGAGCUAAUGCAUGGUGCGAAGUAUGGAAAGGUCUCUUGUGGUUUGGUUGUGCCAGAGACAAAUGUGCAUUAUUUCCAUGUUGGGUCAGAAGUCUCGGUACACUUUAAGUGAGUGGCAGUUGGGUAGAUGGAUAGUUUGAGAUGAAGAAGUUCUUGUAAAUGAUUGAAAGUGAUCAUCAUAGAAUCAACUCCAUUAUGAAGAUAAAUUAUGAGAGUCAGAAAGAACUACGGAAGUAAAUUAUGGCAACAAUAAGGAGUGGUAAAGGAGAUGGAGAAGUAGGUAACAUACAUUUUAAAUGCAUUUUUUAUUGAAUAAUAUAAGUCAAAUGUUAAUUAAAAACUAUAAUAAUUUGCAAAGCACUAAGUGAGACGUAUUAAAUAUAUGCAAUGAUGCAUCCUUUAUAAGAGGUGAUUAGAUCAGAGGCUGAUCUAAGCCAGGAGGAAUUGGAUACAUUUUUUUGAAAAAGUGUCUUACAACCCAGACUUCCAGGUAACAUAUGCUUACAUAAUUCUUCAUUCUGAUACGGUUCGAUUUUAAUAUAUCUCUUUAUAAUGACGGAACCAUGUGAAUUUUGUAUUUAGUUACCAGCAAGCGACCGCUUUGAUGUCAACCCUCACAAUCCUCAACUUAUGAGGAUACGGAUGAGGAAAAUGGGUGGACACUUUCCCCAUGUUGUGAAUUAUCAACCGAGGAGGAAAAUUAAUAUCAAGAAAAGGAGGAAGAUGAAGAAGAAGAUGAAGACUUUAAAAGAGCAAUGGAAGAGGCAGAAAAAGAUGACGAUCCCGAUUAUGUUCCGAAGAAGAGGAGGAGGAUGACGGAGGUGACUUAGAGGAGGAGAUAUUCAAGAUUGCGAAAGCCAGAAGGUUGUCCAUUCCUCUAGUCCUCUGUUACGAAACCAGAACAGUGGAGACGAGGGCCAAAAGACCAGCCUGAUUAUGAUUGUAUUAGCUUGCAAGUCUGCCUUGAAAAUUCAUUAUUAA